GCGUGCGUGAAGAAGGCCCUAGGGUUGUAAAGCGCUUUCGGCGGGGAAGAUGAUGACGGUACCCGCAGAAGAAGCCCCGGCUAACUCCGUGCCAGCAGCCGCGGUAAUACGGAGGGGGCUAGCGUUGUUCGGAUUUACUGGGCGUAAAGGGCGCGUAGGCGGACCUACUAGUCAGGGGUGAAAGGCCUGGGCUCAACCUGGGAACUGCCUUUGAAACUGAAGGUCUUGAGUCCGAGAGAGGAUAGCGGAAUUCCCAGUGUAGAGGUGAAAUUCGU
rnacentral:rRNA from 1 species